GAUACCGGCUCAGGUUUAAGAAUCACCACUGGCUUAAAACUGCAAAAGGUUAAAAAUACAGGAUGAACUUAAUUUACUUUUUCAACCUCCUUGUUCUCUGGAUACUUCUUUCUUCCUUACUACACAGAAGACAAAAAAUAAAACAAAAACAUAUUGAUGGAGAGGAUAUAUAAAGCCCUCUUUCCUAAUUAGAGGGAACUCCUUUUCUACUCUGGUCUGGAUUUAUCUGUUCUGACUAGUCAUUUCAAACGGGACCCGCGGCUAGUCUCACUUGAUUUGCACUUGAUACUUAUUUCUCCAAUGGCUUGUUGCUCCUGAGUCUUGUCAGGGGCCUAGUGGACCUGCCCCGGGACUGAGGCCUAGGUCAGCACAGAGCACGUGUGCUCCGUGAUUGCCGUUUUCCCAUCGUGACAAAUCUGGGCAGCCCGCCUCCUGGCUCCUACCUGACAAGAAUCCCUGAGCAUCUCAGGAAGAAAGAGAAGCUCCAGCUCCCUGGAGGGACGGGAAGGGGAGACCUAUGGCAGGCGCUCCAGACCAGGCAGGAGUGUGCCGUUAGCUCCCCAAAAGCUGACUCUCCCUGGGAGAGCUCUGGGUGCCAGCUGGCCACGGAGCCAGUCUUCAGCUGCGAGUCAAGAUGUGUUCCCUGGGCUCAGAGGAAGAAGGCACCUAUGCACAAAGGACUAGACGAGUAGCUUGUUAGCUCACUCAGGUGGGGCUAGUCCCAGUUGUGUGUUGGGGGGAAGGGGCACUUACAUCAUAGGAUCUGCAGGCGCUUCAAAAUAAGCCAAAAUGCUAAAACUCUCACAGUUGGAAUCUACGCUUUGGAGUAAGGCAUUGAGAACUUCUCUUAAAGUGCGCUGUUAUCUCGGAGGAGUAACAAUCACUCCCCAAACUUCUCAGCAAGAAUUAGUAAAUUAGGUCAGUGGGUAGGUUCUCCCGGCCCCUCUCAUGAAACAGAACCUUAAAAAGAGUUCCUCUGCAUGGACACGUUAUUGAGAUCAGAGAAAAGCUGCGUGUGGACGAGGGGGUGUAGCCUAGAAAAGGUCGCUGUGGAAGGGGGAGACAAAUGAGAAGUUUCCCAGGGGUGGAUAUAAGCAGCGUGGUUUCUCAAAGUAGCAAGUGUGGGCAAGGGAGCUGGCAGGCAAGUUGUCAAAGGCAAGCCUUUCUCCGUGGUAGAGUGGAAGGAACGUGGAAGGUCUCAAAGGGCCUGAAUUCUAGCCUGGCUGUUCCACAUAAUGGGCUCUAUGAAUUCUGGUAACUUAACUGUUCUGGGCCUCGGUUUCGUCUUUUGCCAGAAGGGAAUGGCAAUCCCUGUUCCACCUGCCUCACACGGUUGUUGUGAGACUCGGAUAAAAAAAUGAAUAACAAAACUUUAUGUAAAUUAUACAAUGCAGUAUGAAUGAAAGGACUAUAAUUAUUUUAUUUCACAACCUUGCUCAAGGGCUCUCUCUUAUUGAAAGUGAGUAUGAAAAUGAGCAAUUCCAGAUUGUCAAAUAUGAGACUAAGCACGAAUUUCUCACUUGGUUUUCGAUAGGGAUGAGCCGUGUCUAUUAGCUUUUCGGGGUCUGAGGUUCCAGCAUUCUCCAGCUUUACCUCCUGACAGCCUCCCCUUUUUCCAGCCAAGUCCAGCACUGUUUCCAGGUCUGGGGGAAUCUUGAAAGGCUUUCAAUGGAGGGUUCAGUUUUAAUCUUUGCAAGAACCUAGAAGCCCACUCCCACCCAUUUCCCUCCUGCCACAGCCCCCUCCUGAAGACUUCUUUGCAUUUAGCACAUGAUCUUGUCGAUAUUCUCAGCCUAGCUUUUUAAAGGUUUUCUGGCAAAUUGGGAGGCUAACUCCUUUAGGUCACUGAGCUACACAACUCCAGGAGGCGCUGUUUAUAUCCUAGACCACAGUGUGAAUAGCAUCCCCUGGAUUUGUGCAACACGAUCGUCCUGCUUGUGGUAUCUAGUCCCCUCUCCA
rnacentral:lncRNA from 1 species